rnacentral:lncRNA from 1 species
ACUAACCACUAUAAAAUUGAUAUUCCCUAGAGAAACAGAGACAACAAAGGUUCCAAACCUCCUUGAAAUUCAUCAUAUGUUAUUACAUGAUUAAACUAUGCAUUUAAACAGUAUUGUCAAAUUUUUUGAAUUUUUCUCAAAAUCUAUGUGUACCCCCUACGAAAAUAGUGAGUUUUCGGUAAAUGCUCUAUAUAUGAAGCCUAUAAUAUUUUAAUUCGUUUUAAAAUUUAUAACCACAUUAUACAUUUGUAUUAAUUUAUGAUAAACUCCUUUUCAUGGUACAUGGACAUCGUUCUAAUUUUUUAUCAAUUAAUUUAGCAAAACUGUAAAUACUCCCUAAAUCAUUAUACUAACCACUAUAAAAUUGCUAUUCCCUAGAGAAACGGAGACAACAAAGGUUCCAAAACUCAUUGAACUUCAUCAUAUUUUAUUGCUUGAUUAAAAUAUGUAUUAAAACAGUAUUGUCAAUUUUUUUAAAUUUUUCUCAAAAUCUAUGUGUACCCUCCCUACAAAAAUAGUGAGUUUUCGGUAAAUGCUCUAUAUAUGAAGCCUAUAAUCUUUAAAUUUGUUUUAAAAUUUAAAACGACAUUAUACCUUUGUAUUAAUGUAUGAUAAUCUUCUUUUCAUGGUACAUGGACAUCAGUCUAAUUUUUUAUCCAUUAAUUUAGCAAAACUGCAAAUACUCCCUAAAUCAUUAGACUAACCACUAUAAAAUUGAUAUUCCCUAGAGAAACAGAGACAACAAAGGUUCCACACCUCUUUAAACUUCAUCAUAUUUUAUUACAUGAUUCAAAUAUGAAUUAAAACAGUAUUUUGAAAUUUUUUGAUUUUUUUCAAAAUCUAUGUGUUAACCCCUACGAAAAUAGUGAGUUUUCGGUAAAUGCUCUAUAUAUGAAGCCUAUAAUCUUUAAAUUUUUUUUAAAAUUUAAAACCACAUUAUACCAUUGUAUUAAUGUAUGAUAAACUCUUUUUCAUGGUACAUGGAAAUCGUUCUAAUUUUUUAUCCAUUAAUUUAGCAAAAC